rnacentral:rRNA from 1 species
GGGCCCGCACAAGCGGUGGAGUAUGUGGUUUAAUUCGAUGCAACGCGAAGAACCUUACCAGGGUUUGACAUCCUGCGAAUCUCUUGGAAACAGGAGAGUGCCUUCGGGAACGCAGUGACAGGUGGUGCAUGGCUGUCGUCAGCUCGUGUCGUGAGAUGUUGGGUUAAGUCCCGCAACGAGCGCAACCCACGUCUUUAGUUGCCAGCAUUUAGUUGGGCACUCUAGAGAGACUGCCGGUGAUAAACCGGAGAAGGUGUGGAUGACGUCAAGUCAUCAUGCCCCUUAUGUCCAGGGCUGCACGCAUGCUACAAUGGCAAGUACAACGAGUCGCAAUACCCGAGGUAGGGCAAAUCUCUUAAAGCUUGUCUCAG